ACGCUGGCGGCGUGCUUAACACAUGCGAGUCGAACGGAAAGGCCCUGCUUUUGUGGGGUGCUCGAGUGGCGAACGGGUGAGUAACACGUGAGUAACCUGCCCUUGACUUUGGGAUAACUUCAGGAAACUGGGGCUAAUACCGGAUAGGAGCUCCUGCUGCAUGGUGGGGGUUGGAAAGUUUCGGCGGUUGGGGAUGGACUCGCGGCUUAUCAGCUUGUUGGUGGGGUAGUGGCUUACCAAGGCUUUGACGGGUAGCCGGCCUGAGAGGGUGACCGGCCACAUUGGGACUGAGAUACGGCCCAGACUCCUACGGGAGGCAGCAGUGGGGAAUAUUGCACAAUGGGCGGAAGCCUGAUGCAGCAACGCCGCGUGCGGGAUGACGGCCUUCGGGUUGUAAACCGCUUUCGCCUGUGACGAAGCGUGAGUGACGGUAAUGGGUAAAGAAGCACCGGCUAACUACGUGCCAGCAGCCGCGGUGAUACGUAGGGUGCGAGCGUUGUCCGGAUUUAUUGGGCGUAAAGGGCUCGUAGGUGGUUGAUCGCGUCGGAAGUGUAAUCUUGGGGCUUAACCCUGAGCGUGCUUUCGAUACGGGUUGACUUGAGGAAGGUAGGGGAGAAUGGAAUUCCUGGUGGAGCGGUGGAAUGCGCAGAUAUCAGGAGGAACACCAGUGGCGAAGGCGGUUCUCUGGGCCUUUCCUGACGCUGAGGAGCGAAAGCGUGGGGAGCGAACAGGCUUAGAUACCCUGGUAGUCCACGCUGUAAACGGUGGGUACUAGGUGUGGGGUCCAUUCCACGGGUUCCGUGCCGUAGCUAACGCUUUAAGUACCCCGCCUGGGGAGUACGGCCGCAAGGCUAAAACUCAAAGGAAUUGACGGGGCCCCGCACAAGCGGCGGAGCAUGCGGAUUAAUUCGAUGCAACGCGUAGAACCUUACCUGGGUUUGACAUGGAUCGGGAGUGCUCAGAGAUGGGUGUGCCUCUUUUGGGGUCGGUUCACAGGUGGUGCAUGGCUGUCGUCAGCUCGUGUCGUGAGAUGUUGGGUUAAGUCCCGCAACGAGCGCAACCCUUGUUCACUGUUGCCAGCACGUUAUGGUGGGGACUCAGUGGAGACCGCCGGGGUCAACUCGGAGGAAGGUGGGGAUGACGUCAAGUCAUCAUGUCCCUUAUGUCCAGGGCUUCACGCAUGCUACAAUGGCUGGUACAGAGAGUGGCGAGCCUGUGAGGGUGAGCGAAUCUCGGAAAGCCGGUCUCAGUUCGGAUUGGGGUCUGCAACUCGACCUCAUGAAGUCGGAGUCGCUAGUAAUCGCAGAUCAGCAACGCUGCGGUGAAUACGUUCCCGGGGCUUGUACACACCGCCCGUCAAGUCAUGAAAGUUGGUAACACCCGAAGCCGGUGGCCUAACCGUUGUGGGGGAGCCGUCGAAGGUGGGACUGGUGAUUAGGACUAA
rnacentral:rRNA from 1 species